UUGAAUGAGAUAUAUAAACGUAACAAAUAAUUAUUGAAGUGUUCAAAGGACUUGACUAGAAAAUUCCGAGUUUUAUUUAAGAGUAGUGGAAUUGCGCCUCAUUUAAUGGGUCUAUAAAAGCUUUCGCCAUGCAUUAAUAGAUAUAUAAUGCACUAUAAAGCAGAGGUGGAACGCAAAUACUAACGAUUCCUAUCGAAUUAGGACACAUCUAUUU